AAAAAUACAAUAAAAAGCAAAUCAGCUUAUGGUAAUGGAGCAGACCCCUGGUUUGAGUGCAACGCCGUGCGGAAGGAUGGAGAUGGCUCUUGCCGUCUUGGAUGACAAGUGGAUGGCACUGAGAUCUUGGAAGCUGAAAAUGAACCCAAUGGAAAACACUGUGGUUUCUCUGUUGUCUUCAAACCCCGAGGUCUGACUUGCUCUUAUUUUACCAGAUCGCCGUACUAUAA
rnacentral:lncRNA from 1 species